rnacentral:sRNA from 1 species
ACAAUUCAGUGCUAUCAUCAGUUCUGAGACAAUAUUUUUCUUACUCUCGUUCAUGUUUCUCUCUAGUUCCUGGUUCUGUGAUUAGACAAACACCUGAAACACACAAGAAAAAGAAAAGAGAAAGACUAAGUAAAUAAAAAGAAAAAGAAAAAUAGAAGCUUAGACAAAAUUUAAUGGUGAAUCGUAGAGAACUUCGGCAACGGCGCCAAAUUUGAUAUGGUUCAAAUUGCCAUAAGACCACUCUCUCAAAUAAGAGAUCGAUUGUAGCACUUAAUGGUUGAAUUCCACAAAGCUCUCAGAUCACAAAAUAGACCAAGGUUUUGAAUUAAGCUAAGUAAAA